rnacentral:rRNA from 1 species
AUACGGAGGGUGCAAGCGUUAUCCGGAUUUAUUGGGUUUAAAGGGUGCGUAGGCGGUUUGAUAAGUCAGCGGUGAAAUAUUUCAGCUUAACUGGAAGGGUGCCGUUGAUACUGUCGAGCUUGAAUUUAGUUGCUGUGGGUGGAAUGUGUGGUGUAGCGGUGAAAUGCAUAGAUAUCACACAGAAUAUCGAUUGCGAAGGCAGCUCACAAAGCUAAUAUUGACGCUGAUGCACGAAAGUGUGGGGAUCAAACAGGAUUAGAUACCCUGGUAGUCCACACUGUAAACGAUGAAUGUUAGGUGUCGGGUGUCAAAGCUCGGUGCCGCAGUUAACGCAUUAAACAUUCCGCCUGGGGAGUACGAUGGCAACAUUGAAACUCAAAUGAAUUGGCGGGG